GCCUGGGUGGCUCAGUCGGUUGAGCGUCUGACUUCGGCUCAGGUCAUGAUCUCACGGUCCGUGAGUUCGAGCCCCGCGACGGGCU
rfam:Felis catus isolate Cinnamon breed Abyssinian chromosome D4, whole genome shotgun sequence.